rnacentral:rRNA from 1 species
GAGUUUGAUCCUGGCUCAGGACGAACGCUGGCGGCGUGCCUAAUACAUGCAAGUCGAGCGUGGGAAGCAAGCUGAUCCUCUUCGGAGGUGACGCUUGUGGAACGAGCGGCGGACGGGUGAGUAACACGUGGGCAACCUGCCUGUAAGACUGGGAUAACCCCGGGAAACCGGGGCUAAUACCGGAUAAUACUUUUCAUCACCUGAUGGGAAGUUGAAAGGUGGCUUUUAGCUACCACUUACAGAUUGGCCCGCGGCGCAUUAGCUAGUUGGUGAGGUAACGGCUCACCAAGGCAACGAUGCGUAGCCGACCUGAGAGGGUGAUCGGCCACACUGGGACUGAGACACGGCCCAGACUCCUACGGGAGGCAGCAGUAGGGAAUCUUCCGCAAUGGACGAAAGUCUGACGGAGCAACGCCGCGUGAGUGAUGAAGGUUUUCGGAUCGUAAAGCUCUGUUGUUAGGGAAGAACAAGUGCCGUUCGAAUAGGGCGGCACCUUGACGGUACCUAACCAGAAAGCCCCGGCUAACUACGUGCCAGCAGCCGCGGUAAUACGUAGGGGGCAAGCGUUGUCCGGAAUUAUUGGGCGUAAAGCGCGCGCAGGCGGUCCUUUAAGUCUGAUGUGAAAGCCCACGUGGAGGGUCAUGAAACUGGAGGACUGAGUACAGAAGAGAGAGUGAUUCACGUGUAGCGUGAAAUGCGUAGAGAUGUGAGGAACACAGUGGCGAAGGCGACUCUCUGGUCUGUAACUGACGCUGAGGCGCGAAAGCGUGGGGAGCGAACAGGAUUAGAUACCCUGGUAGUCCACGCCGUAAACGAUGAGUGCUAGGUGUUAGGGGGUUUCCGCCCCUUAGUGCUGAAGUUAACGCAUUAAGCACUCCGCCUGGGGAGUACGGCCGCAAGGCUGAAACUCAAAAGAAUUGACGGGGGCCCGCACAAGCGGUGGAGCAUGUGGUUUAAUUCGACGCAACGCGAAGAACCUUACCAGGUCUUGACAUCCUCUGCAAUCGGUAGAGAUACCGAGUUCCCUUCGGGGACAGAGUGACAGGUGGUGCAUGGUUGUCGUCAGCUCGUGUCGUGAGAUGUUGGGUUAAGUCCCGCAACGAGCGCAACCCUUGAUCUUAGUUGCCAGCAUUUAGUUGGGCACUCUAAGGUGACUGCCGGUGACAAACCGAGGAAGGUGGGGAUGACGUCAAAUCAUCAUGCCCCUUAUGACCUGGGCUACACACGUGCUACAAUGGAUGGAACAAAGGGAAGCAAAACCGCGAGGUCAAGCAAAUCCCAUAAAACCAUUCUCAGUUCGGAUUGCAGGCUGCAACUCGCCUGCAUGAAGCCGGAAUCGCUAGUAAUCGCGGAUCAGCAUGCCGCGGUGAAUACGUUCCCGGGCCUUGUACACACCGCCCGUCACACCACGAGAGUUGGUAACACCCGAAGUCGGUGAGGUAACCUUUUGGAGCCAGCCGCCGAAGGUGGGACCAAUGAUUGGGGUGAAGUCGUAACAAGGUA